rnacentral:rRNA from 1 species
CGGCGGACGGGUGAGUAACGCGUGGGUAACCUGCCUCAUCCAGGGGGAUAACAGUUGGAAACGGCUGCUAAUACCGCAUAAGCGCACAGUACCGCAUGGUACGGUGUGAAAAACUCCGGUGGUAUGAGAUGGACCCGCGUCUGAUUAGGUAGUUGGUGGGGUAACGGCCUACCAAGCCGACGAUCAGUAGCCGACCUGAGAGGGUGACCGGCCACAUUGGGACUGAGACACGGCCCAA